rnacentral:rRNA from 1 species
UACGUAGGGGGCAAGCGUUGUCCGGAUUUAUUGGGCGUAAAGAGCGUGUAGGCGGCUAGAUAGGUCCGUUGUGAAAACUCGAGGCUCAACCUCGAGCUGUCGGCGGAAACCAUCUGGCUAGAGUCCGGAAGAGGAGAGUGGAAUUCCUGGUGUAGCGGUGAAAUGCGCAGAUAUCAGGAAGAACACCCGUGGCGAAGGCGGCUCUCUGGGACGGUACUGACGCUGAGACGCGAAAGCGUGGGGAGCGAACAGG